UGCGUACUCCCUCCGUUCGAAAUUACUCGUCGCAGAAAUGGAUAUAUUUAUACGUAUUUUAGUUUUAGAUACAUCCAUAUCCGAGACAAGUAAUCCCGAACGAAGGGAGUACGUA
rfam:Triticum aestivum genome assembly, contig: Triticum_aestivum_CS42_TGACv1_scaffold_471461_6AL